rnacentral:miRNA from 1 species
UAGUCACGUGAGGUGAAGUGUG